GGAAAGCUUGGAGUCUUAGCCCUAAGAAAACUACUAAGCGUUAUAGACUAGAGGGUGUUCUCCAGUUAUGACCAUAACUGAGCCCAAAAUUUCUGUCACUAAGAGAGACAGAGUUGUUAAAAGUUUGCAAAAGGUGAUUACAUGAUCCCAGGACGCUGCAACCGUAAUAAAUGAUCCUGUGACUGGGCUACUGCAAUAGUUCUUGAAGUCACAUUAUCCGUACAGGUGGUCCUCAACCAGAGACUGCGAUUGAGCCCUGAAUUACAGUUGUAUCUUGUUGCAGUUAAAAAGUCGAGACAUCAUGUGAUUGGACCCAAGUUUUUGAACAUUUUUACAGUAGUUCUUAAGCGAAUCCUAAAGUCAUUAAGUGAACGCUGAAGGCUCAAAGUAACCUUUUGCAACAUGGCUACUGGGGAGGUCAUGCCUGAAGUCUGCGUGGCUUUGGGGAGAAAAUAUCUCCUGGGAAACCUGGCUAGACUGGCAACCUCAAGAAGAAAAGCCCCUUGGAUUCCUGGAAAGACCUUUGGGAGUUGCACUGGAAAGGUGACAACAUGUGCGGAUCCUUUCCAAGUAAUCCUCACCCCCACUGGUGUCCAUGUCACAAUUAAGGGGUUGCACCUGUGAUCCUCCUUCUGAUGCUGCAGAUCUCUCCUGGUUUGAGUGGCACUCUGUAUAAAGAGUUCAGGGCCCCUUAAAGACAAAUCUGAAAAUGUAUAUUAGAAAAAAGAAAGGAUAUUUUCAUCUAAGCAGACAGAAUUGAGGCCCAGACCUUGGGCAGGUUUAGAAUGUGGCCAUUGUUUACCUGGUUGCCAGGGCCCAGCUGAAAAGCCACCAACCAGGGCCCAGCUGCCCAUUCUGCCUUCUUGCAGUGAAAGGACCAACAGCUGCUUCGGGUCAUGGCUGUACGACGGUUUUUUAGGAACAUCUGGAAAAGAUGUUUGGUGCUUUUCUGCUGCGUAAGAGCAAUGUAGAGGACCUUCCUUGGCCUCCAGACAGGACCGUUGAGGCACAAAAACAGGAUGACCAGCAGAGAGAAUGGGAGACACAUCUUCAUGUGUCUGAUGGAGAAACAACUUCCUUCCCAGGGGGUUUGAUGGGUGUUCGUGCCACUACCCGGAGCCCCAGGAAGAAAGAGGUCAUGCCAGUUCUCAUUUCAAUGAGAAAUGAGAACAUAAUGAAGUGGAGGCCGUGGCUAUCAACCAUUUCGGAGACCUGCACUGAGUCGGAUCCUUCGGAAGAAUGCCAACCAAGGGACGACGUGCAGGAGGAAAGCAGUGCCUGCUUAUCAAGAGAGGAAGAGCAAGAGCACUGGAGGCUGCGACUCCCUCCCAUUUUGGAGACCUGCACUGAAUCGUUAAGGCCUGAACAGCUUCUACUCCGCUAAAAGAAGAAGCCCUCUCUCUGCGGAUUUGUGGAGAUGGCAACAGACAGAAUCUUUGCAUUGUUAUUUCAAGAUGAAGAAGACCAGCCGGCAGAAGAGGAGCUCUCUCCCACUGGGGAGAAGACGCAUACCUCGGAGGAUUCGAUGGAAGUCCAGGUGGGCUCCGGGAUCAACAGCCUGGAGGAUUUCGACUCCAUUUCUGCCCUCUUGGAUGAGGUGUCUGAGGGAAGCUGGGAGCAGGCUGCAGAGGCUUUGGAGGCCAGCCUUUCUUCCAGUCUGUGGGAUUCUCCCGAAGAAGGGGAAGCCACGCUGGACAAUCUCAGCAGCCUGGAAGACUCUCUGGACCUCA